rnacentral:lncRNA from 1 species
GGGUGUUACAUCAUUGGCUCCUCUGAUUCUCAUGCAUUUUAACUCAGACUGAAUUACCCCACCAGCUUUCUUGAUUUUCCAGCUUGCAGGUGGCAGAUAAUGAGACUUCUCAGCCUCCAUAAUCAUAUAAUGAGAAUGAAGACUUUUAUGAUGAGCCACUUCUACUAAAUGAAUAAGUUUCGUUCUUGUUGCCCAGGCUGGAGUGCAAAGGCAUGGUCUCAGCUCACUGCAACCUCCACCUGGAGUUUAAGCCAUUCUCCUGCCUCAGCCUCCCAAGUAGCUGGGAUUACACAUGUCCACCACUACGCCCAAAAUACCACUGGAAGGUCCAAGAUCCAGGGGCCCACAUCUGCUAAGGGCUUUCAUGCCGUGUCAUCCCAUGAGGAAAGACAGAGGCAAGGAGAGUCAGAUCCAGAGAAAAGUGACACAUCUAGAUACAAAUUCUAGGAUCUUCCCGCCUUUCAGUAUCAUCACUGCUUUUCCACUUUGACACUAUAUGAACUUCUAGGUUUCAUAUGAAACAUUCUGUAUUAUUUUCAGAAAUAAAAGAAGCUUCAUACAAG